GUAGUUGUGGCCAAGUGGUUAAGGUGUUGGACUAGAAAUCCAUUGGGUGUUUCCCUGGUGCAGGUUCAAGUCCUGCCGACUGUG